rnacentral:misc_RNA from 1 species
AAAGAUAAGUUGCAAAAUUAAUUAUGGACUGUUAACACUAUGUUUGGAAAUGUACAAAAUAUGGGAGGAAAGAAAAUGAGUAGGGAAAAUAAAAGAAUUUCCCACCUUUGUGUUGUUUGGAAAGGAAGGAAAUAAAAAGGGAAGGAAAAUUAGGGGGUAGAAUAUGAUGUGGGGCCCACAUUUCACUCGCUCCAACUUGAAGAGUGAGAGGAAAAUCCACUUAAUUACAUUUUUAUCCCUCAAAUUUUUAUUUUAUUUGCACAAAAAAAGAUUAAAUACAAAUUAUAUUAUUCAUAGAGCCAUUUUUCCUUCCACUUUUUCUUCCUUACUGUCCAAACAAGGGCUAACCAAAGUUGUUCUUUUCUCCUUACUUUAUCACCUUAAUUUCAUCUAUUUAUUUUCUUUCCGGUGGCUUCUAUAGUUAUUUUAU